AGUGAACGCUGGCGGUAGGCCUAACACAUGCAAGUCGAACGGCAGCACAGUAAGAGCUUGCUCUUACGGGUGGCGAGUGGCGGACGGGUGAGGAAUACAUCGGAAUCUACUUUUUCGUGGGGGAUAACGUAGGGAAACUUACGCUAAUACCGCAUACGACCUACGGGUGAAAGCAGGGGAUCUUCGGACCUUGCGCGAUUGAAUGAGCCGAUGUCGGAUUAGCUAGUUGGCGGGGUAAAGGCCCACCAAGGCGACGAUCCAUAGCUGGUCUGAGAGGAUGAUCAGCCACACUGGAACUGAGACACGGUCCAGACUCCUACGGGAGGCAGCAGUGGGGAAUAUUGGACAAUGGGCGCAAGCCUGAUCCAGCCAUACCGCGUGGGUGAAGAAGGCCUUCGGGUUGUAAAGCCCUUUUGUUGGGAAAGAAACGCAGCAGGUUAAUACCCCGCUGUUCUGACGGUACCCAAAGAAUAAGCACCGGCUAACUUCGUG
rnacentral:rRNA from 1 species